CCUGGCUCAGGAUGAACGCUAGCUACAGGCUUAACACAUGCAAGUCGAGGGGCAGCAUGGUCUUAGCUUGCUAAGACUGAUGGCGACCGGCGCACGGGUGAGUAACACGUAUCCAACCUGCCGUCUACUCUUGGACAGCCUUCUGAAAGGAAGAUUAAUACAAGAUGGCAUCAUGAGUCCGCAUGUUCACAUGAUUAAAGGUAUUCCGGUAGACGAUGGGGAUGCGUUCCAUUAGAUAGUAGGCGGGGUAACGGCCCACCUAGUCUUCGAUGGAUAGGGGUUCUGAGAGGAAGGUCCCCCACAUUGGAACUGAGACACGGUCCAAACUCCUACGGGAGGCAGCAGUGAGGAAUAUUGGUCAAUGGGCGAGAGCCUGAACCAGCCAAGUAGCGUGAAGGAUGACUGCCCUAUGGGUUGUAAACUUCUUUUAUAAAGGAAUAAAGUCGGGUAUGCAUACCCGUUUGCAUGUACUUUAUGAAUAAGGAUCGGCUAACUCCGUGCCAGCAGCCGCGGUAAUACGGAGGAUCCGAGCAUUAUCCGGAUUUAUUGGGUUUAAAGGGAGCGUAGAUGGAUGUUUAAGUCAGUUGUGAAAGUUUGCGGCUCAACCGUAAAAUUGCAGUUGAUACUGGAUAUCUUGAGUGCAGUUGAGGCAGGCGGAAUUCGUGGUGUAGCGGUGAAAUGCUUAGAUAUCACGAAGAACUCCGAUUGCGAAAGCAGCCUGCUAAGCUGCAACUGACAUUGAGGCUCGAAAGUGUGGGUAUCAAACAGGAUUAGAUACCCUGGUAGUCCACACGGUAAACGAUGAAUACUCGCUGUUUGCGAUAUACGGCAAGCGGCCAAGCGAAAGCGUUAAGUAUUCCCCCUGGGGAGUACGCCGGCAACGUGAAACUCAAAGGAAUUGACGGGGGCCCGCACAAGCGGAGGAACAUGUGUUUUAAUUCGAUGAUACGCGAGGAACCUUACCGGGGCUUAAAUUGCAGAUGAAUUACGGUGAAAGCCGUAAGCCGCAAGGCAUCUGUGAAGGUGCUGCAUGGUUGUCGUCAGCUCGUGCCGUGAGGUGUCGGCUUAAGUGCCAUAACGAGCGCAACCCUUGUUGUCAGUUACUAACAGGUUCUGCUGAGGACUCUGACAAGACUGCCAUCGUAAGAUGUGAGGAAGGUGGGGAUGACGUCAAAUCAGCACGGCCCUUACGUCCGGGGCUACACACGUGUUACAAUGGGGGGUACAGAGGGCCGCUACCACGCGAGUGGAUGCCAAUCCCCAAAACCUCUCUCAGUUCGGACUGGAGUCUGCAACCCGACUCCACGAAGCUGGAUUCGCUAGUAAUCGCGCAUCAGCCACGGCGCGGUGAAUACGUUCCCGGGCCUUGUACACACCGCCCG
rnacentral:rRNA from 1 species